CACGUAGGGGCGCAAGCGUUUGUCCGGGAAUUUAUUUGGGGCGUAAAGAGCUCGUAGGGCGGGUUCUUGUUUGCGUUCGGGCUUGUGAAAAACCCCCGGGGGGCUCAACCCCCGGGGGCCCCUGCAGCCCGAUACGGGGCAGACUAGAGUUUUCGGGGCAGGGGGGGAGACUGGAAAUUUCCUUGGGGUUGUAGCGGGGUGAAAAUUGCGCAGAUUAUCAGGGAGGGAAACACCCGGGUGGGCGGAA
rnacentral:rRNA from 1 species